AUGAACAUCAAUAGAAAGACUCGGAUACAAAUGUAACUUACUGCAAAGGUAUGGCAGUGGGAGGAGCACAUGGGUUACUGAUCAAUAUGGAUGGUGACUAGCAUAUUGAUAGGGGAAGUGGGACAGUGAUGAGGUUCGACUAUUGAAAUCAAAGCAGCCUAAUUCUCUUAUUGGGUCAGUGUUCUCAGAACACGUGGGUGAAUACAAAACAGCCAUUGAUUCUUUGGUAGCGAAACUCUUUGGUCUUUAACAUCAUGAUUGAGCUGUCCACAAUUGCAAUUCUUGAAUUUUCUGUCCUCUGUGCUCUGAUUAAUUAUUUUUACUAAGAGCUUUGAGUGGAUAUAUAUUUUGAUACCUGCCUCAAGUCUCAUA